GAGCUGCGCAUUCGGAAGUUCACAUCGGCAGCCGCUUCCAAACCUCGGUCGGACGACGGAAGCGCUCCUGGUUUCCCUCUGGUGUUUCUCGAGGGUUGAGGUUGUGAGAAGCCUAGUUCGGAAGUGGGUCGUGGGAGCGAGCGCGGAAGCUUUCAGAAAGGAAGAAGCUGACUGUAGGGAUGCUGGGGGGAGAAAUGUUUUAAGAGCAGGCCAUCAGAGGAUGAUUUGGCUGGAGUAUGGGACAACGAUAAGAUGAGACAUGUCCUGAAGAAACAAAAGAAUCUCUGUUGUAGCCCGCCAGAGGCCUGCGUGGAUUGUUGCUGAUCCCGACGAGGAGGCUGGUGUAGUGCUGUGCCAGCAGCCUGUGCAGCCGGCACUCGAGUCGGACAGCGAGGAAGCUGAAGAAGAUGUGGUGCCAGAGGCAGGGAUUCAGUCAGGGCCUUCAGAAGCUCCAGAGGCUCCUUAAAGUGAAGAGGAGGAAGAGGAGGAGCCUCUUCUCAAUCCACGGGCACGCAGAGCUGCCAAAAGGCAGGAGUGGUUCCUCAGGAGGAGGUCUCUUCGAGAGUAAGGCUUGGGGCUAAUUGGCCAUUCCCUUAGCCUAUUUAAGAAAGAACACAGCUUGCAACAAGCUGCAGGAAACAACUUUAGUUCGCUAAUCAUUGCAUUGGGAUUUCUCUACAACCUUGCUUAUGGACUUUUUGCCAACUCCAGUAAGACUCUGACUAUCUUAUCUGUGGAAUUCUGGCAGGCUGUUAAGAAUGCUUAUUAACAGCUGGCAUUUGUUAAAACUGCGUUAUUUGAAUAAACUAAGUUUUGUUCAGAG